CGGCAACGGAUAUCUCGGCUCUCGCAUCGAUGAAGAACGUAGCGAAAUGCGAUACUUGGUGUGAAUUGCAGAAUCCCGUGAACCAUCGAGUCUUUGAACGCAAGUUGCGCCCGAAGCCAUUAGGCCGAGGGCACGCCUGCCUGGGCGUCUCAC
rnacentral:rRNA from 1 species